rnacentral:rRNA from 1 species
UACGGAGGGUGCAAGCGUGAUCCGGAUUCACUGGGCUUAAAGGGUGCGUAGGCGGCUUAUUAAGUCAGUGGUGAAAGCCCCAAGCUUAACUUGGGAACUGCCAUUGAUACUGAUGAGCUUGAGUAGAUUUGAGGCGGGCGGAAUGUGUCGUGUAGCGGUGAAAUGCUUAGAUAUGACACAGAACACCAAUUGCGUAGGCAGCUCGCUAAACUCUUACUGACGCUGAGGCACGAAAGCAUGGGGAUCAAACAGG